rnacentral:lncRNA from 1 species
CGAGGCAGCGGGCCACUAAGUCUGUUAUAUGGCAGAACGAUUUCUGUAAGCCUGGAAGCAUUUGGCAGUGAGAUAGGAAGCGGACCUUCGAGAGUGUUACCAAAUGCUUGAAGUACUUCGAGAUUGACAAGCGUGUUGCCCAUGUCAGGUGGCAGUGUUCCAGAGAGCUGGUUAUACCCUACGUACAAGUAGCAGAGGGACGACAUGUUAAAAAUGUUGGCGGGGAUCGCCCCUGUCAGUGAGUUCCCGGUGACAGAGAUAUGCACUAAGCUCUGGAGUCUUCCUAGACUCGGGGGUAUGGUGCCCGUCACUCUGUUUCCGACGAGAUCGAUGUGAGUCAUCGACGAGAGGUUCCCAAGGGAAGCAGGGAUUCUCCCGCCGAUGUCGUUGUAAUGGAGGCUAAGGAUUUGGAGCUUGGGGAGUGCACCAAGCGCUGCUGGGAUUUCCCCAGCGAGCCUGUUGGAACCUAGACUUAUCCGCCACAGGCUGGAGCAGUUGGCGAGGGUGCCAGGAAUUCUGCCUUCGAGAGCGUUUCGGCUCAGAAGGAGAGACUCGAGGUGGGACAAACGGCCAAGCUCCGGCGGCAGCUGGCCUUGUAGGCUGUUGAGAGAGAGGUUGAGGCUCCUGAGGAAGGUCAGGUUGCCUAUGUCGGGAGAUAUGGAGCCGGUGAGGCCAAGAUUGGCCAAGUCCAGGGAAGUCACCCUUCCGGGGUUUUGGCUGUUACCACAUGUCACCCCCGGCCACUGGCAGAAUGCAGUGCUGGAGUUGUGGCUGUCCCAUGAGGACAAGGAAGCGGGAGGGUGCAAAUGAGCCUUGAUAGAGAGGAGUGCGGGUAGGUCGUCGGUGUCGCUAGUCAUACCGGUGGCGGAAGCAGCUGGCCGCUCCGAGAAAAGGAAUGAAAGAAUGAGCGCGGAGGAGGUUAACACCCGCAAGGUUGAUUCAAAGGUUCGUAACGAAUGGAGAAAGAGGAACAUCAUCAUCGAAAGUUAAGGCGCCCAGAGACAAUUCAAUUUAAGAAGGCGGCGGGAUUAUGGAGUUGCAUGCCCGGUCCAUAUACUUACUUCUGGUGCGAGGAUUGACGCUGUCAGCACGUAAUCGGCACGUCACAACUUCACUCAUCAAUUUCUCUCUGAGACAUUGGGUAAUAGUAUACAUAUGUUCAAUCAAAAUCGGUGAUUUCCAUAUUGAUCUGUAUAAAUUUUGGUUUAAUAUAUAUACUUACAAACCUAUAAUUUUGAUACAAUCAAUUGACUAUUAUUUGAACGUAAUCGAGAAAUCAAUUUGACAUCUAUAAUUUUGAAACUAUGUUAUAUUUUUUGACACUUUACAUUUUAUAUUUUUUUCUAACUCAUAUUAACUGAUAUUAACUGACAUGUAAAAUUUCCUAUUAAAAAAAGACUCUUGGAAAAUAUUGAUGCUUUGUCAUAAAGCCUUAAGUUGUACGUAACACGAGUUAUUAGGUGUCAAACAUAUGUUCAUUUUUCUUUUUCUCUAAGUAAAAUAUAUUAACUAAAUCAUCAAAGUCAAAAAAAAAAAAAAAAAGUUGCUAUGCGUCAUAGUACAAAAGAUAUGCCAACUGAGAAGGUCACUCCUCUCUUUAUAAAAAUAAAGUUUUGGUUAGCCUAACAUGAUUAGCUAACCACUUAGUAAAUUCAUUUAUUUCUCUAUAUAUGUGAGGGAUUAAGAAAGAAACAAAAAGCUUUUACAAAUUUCAAAUAUCCUCAAUUAAAUUUUAUAAUAUCUAAAGAACAAUGAUCGUCCUAGAUAGAAUCUAAACUAAUAUUUUUGAGAAUUCGAUUUCACAUGUAGCAGCUUAACAUCAUAUUACGUAAAAACCUUUAGCUUAUUUCACAUCAUCAUAAUUUUACAAUAGAAGAUGUUCAUUUCUUCAACACACUUACGUCCACCAACAAAAGAUUACGAGUAUCAUUUUUUAAAAAAAUCUCAAAACUACUAUAUAGGAUCCAUAACGAUCAAGCUUUACUCAUCCCAUUUAUAGUCUACACCUACUACUAAAUUCGCCCUUGCUUAACUAUUAGACAGUUCGUAAGAAGCCAACAACAAAGCAACAAUCUUUUUUUUCCCAGAUAUUUUUUUAGUUGUAAUUGGGCCCUUUAUCGCAAUCAGCGAAAGUUUCCAAACAUGUUCUGUAAUAUCCCGUUAGUCCCACGUCGAAAGUGGGGAAUGUGUAUGAUUAGCUUAUAAGGGCUUGAUGAGUAUACUACGAAAACUCCCGUUUAAACAUUUUGAUCCGUAGGACCAAAAUGAAGUUAUUGGCUAGUUAACUCAUCAAAUUACCACAUGUACAUCUAGAUGGAUUCGGUGCAACUAAUCAACACCCAACAACUCGUGGAUAAUGGCGUCUAAUAUGUUUAUAUCUAAGAUACAACGAUUCUUUAUUAAGUCAUCAUUAAGAUAUUAUUAUUAUUGUUGUUAUUCUUGUAACCAAGAACGAGUCAUUACAAGUGACGCCAGACAUCACUAUCUCUUACGAAUUAUUACAAAUUAAAAACCGAAGACGGCCGACAAAAGUAGCGACCGUACAUUAUGUAAAGCGGGUCGACGCCUACCUCCCUUAUGAAUAUAUUUCACGGACAUCACAUAUGGAGCCCACCGGUGGGUGACGUUAGCGCGACCUCGCGCGGUCUGUGAGACGGUGGACGAACACGACAUUGACCGACAACAUUAUUCGUAUUAAUUAUAUUGACCUCAGGCGGCCGUUUAUUUUCAUAAGGGUUUGGUAUUUUCCCAUCAGAUUAUUAUUUAAAUUAUUUUAGGUUAGCGUGACUUGACGCCUAAUGGGUUAGGUAUGUGAAAGGUACGUAAUUGUUUUUAUGUUAAAGUUAAAUUAUAAAAUAUGAUGAUUAAUUCAGAUGAUAAAGAUUUUGACAGAUACAUCUAUCAAAUAGAACUAAAUGAUCCGAUAUCCAUCCCUGUAUAUGUAUACUUAUAUAAGUUGAACAUUUAAAUUUAAUCAAUUGACUGUAAUUUAACUGCAGCUGAGGCAUCAAUUUGACAUUAAUAAUAUUUGAAGAUACAUUAUAGUUUUUCGAUUCAAAUUAAUUAAUACCAACCAUAGAUAUAUGCAACGAAUCUUAAUUUUUAAAAGAGCAUUUAUGUCAUGUUAGAACUCUAACGAUAAGUAAUGUAAGUGUAUUCAACGAGGUGUAAUAAUAAUCUAUGCUCUAAACAGAGUCAUUGCUUAGGUGCUCCUCUUGUUUUCAUAGAAGAAGGACGUAUUGGGGUUAUCCGCAGUCUACCUUCACUCACACGUCUUCAGAUAGAUUUCCUUGCUUGUGCACCAUUUUUUGAGGGAUAGAGUAAGAGCUCAUUGCUUGAUAAUUAUUGAUAUACCAAAUUAAGUUUUUUAAAAAAUAUCAUAUCGAUAAUUACAUUUAUCUGGAAAUACAUAUAUGUUUGAAUUUAUCUAUAUUAAUUAAUCAAACCAUGAUUCGAUAUCAUUUAUGCAUGGAUAGUCUUUCCACAUAUUUACACGUUAUUUACACUGCACAUAUUUACACGUUAGCUACUGUCACCAAAUAUUUACAUGUCGGCUCCUCUCCUAUUCUCCGCUAGGGUUCCUUCAACAAGUAUCCUCCUCGCAACAUGCAACGUUUUGAUCACGUCUUCCAUCUCCAUUCUGGCAGUCGCCGAUUCGUUUGAGCAUGAGAGGCCAACUUUGAUCACCGAAAGCAGACAUUUAUGGAUCCCCUUAUCCACGUUAGCCUUUGCAUCUUUUUCAUGCAACAGCAACGAUGGGUCGACUAUAUCAAAUAUCUGUGCUGGAUAAGCCAUUUUCACGUAACGAUGAAGGUUUUCUCCAUCCUUAAAAUGGGAAUCUGUGGGUCUUCUUCCGCUGAACAUCUCCAGCAUAAGUACUCCAUAACUGUAGACAUCCACUUUAGUGGAGACCGUCCCGCCCAAGCCGUACUCUACAAUCAUAAGUACAACCAAAGACAAGAAUUUUGAUGCCGCUGACAAAAAAAUGCUACCCAAGGAGUUUACGAACAACGAAUGAGUUAGAGAAAAAGAGUAUGAGAUCGAGUAAAUGACCUGGAGCGACAUAUCCAAUGGAUCCUUUUAACCGAGAGAUGCGACUUAUCUCCUUAGCAAGAUCACCGGAGGUCGUCUCUUUCAGCAACUCUGCAGAUCCAAAGUCACACAAAUGAGCAACCAUAUCAUUGUCAAGAAGCACAUUGCUUGGCUUCAGAUCACAAUGAACAAUGGUUGUCCCGCUAUAGUGAUGCAGAUAGUCCAAAGCAGAAGCCACAUCGAUUGCUAUGUUCAGUCUCUGGAGGAGAGUUAAGGCGCUCGAUGCAUCACCAUUCAUGUCUGCUCCGGGAUGCAACCAGUCGUUUAAACUCCCAUUGGGCAUGUACGCAGUAACGAUAGCCAAGAAGGCAUCGCCAUUGUGAUCUGCACUAGAGCAGACUGUUAAGAUCUUGUUGACAUUUCGAUGUCUGAUUGCUCCUAAAGUUUCACAUUCUGCUUUAAAGCUCUGAAAGGCCCCGACUUGUAGAGUAUCGAACACCUUAACAGCAACGUCGAUCGAAUCGUAGCUCAUGGUUCCCCUGUACACUUGACCAAAGCUUCCCCGGCCUAUGAUAUUGGAUGGGGAGAAUCCAUCAGUUGCUCUGUAUAUCUCGCUGUAAGAAGCAAUUGGAUACUGUCUUUUAGAUGGUACUACAGGCAUGCACUUCCUUGUUCUUUGCCUGUGGAGCAGGUAAGAAGCUGCAGCCAGAGACAAUACAAAUAUUGUCACCGUAAUCACAAUUGAGACGAGUGACCUAACUGCAGGAGACCCGCCCUUCUUCCCCGGAGCGUGAUCGGGGCAUGGCUGCAAAUGCAACGCUUGGAUUCCUCCACACAGCUUAUUGUUUCCGGUGACCAAGUAAACAUUGGCGUUCCUGAAAACCCCUUCAUUUGGCACUUGGCCUUGGAGGUCGUUGAAUGAAAGAUUAAGGAACCUGACGUGUUCGAGUCGCUCGAAGGACAGCGGGAUGUGUCCUGAUAAGUUGUUGCAGGAGAGAUCUAACACUUGGACGCCGGUGAGACUACCGAGCGAGUCUGGAAUUGCUCCUUCAAGGUGGUUUCCUUGCAGGUAGAGGUACUGCAAGACUUGGCAUUCUCCUAUGGUGCUUGGAAUUUCCCCAGAUAGUCUGUUCUUUGAUAUAUCCAAGGCUUCAAGAUUCUUCAAGCUGCCAACUCCUGCUGGCAGAGGCCCCGUGAACAAGUUCCGUGACAAGUUGAGGUAUCGAGUUAAAGAGGUCAGCUCUGUAAGUUCUUCAGGAAUGCGGCCCUCGAGCUUGUUGAAUGAUAAAUCACACACAGUCAACUGUCGCAGGUUGCCGAAGCUCUUGGGAAUCUCUCCCUGCAAGCCAUUGCCGUUCAAGUAGAGGUUUUCGAGCUGGGUAAGGUUGCCGACAGCGGAUGGAAGAACUCCCGACAAUUGAUUAUCGUCCAAGGACAAGACGUGCAGAUUCCGUAGCUUGCCGACGGCUGCAGGGACGUGACCUGUGAAGAUGCAUGCAUGCGAGAUGCAAAGAGAAAGGAUAGUUUCAUAAACGUUAAGGAUAAAGAGAGUCGAAUUAUAUAUAUAUAUUAUAUUUAACUUAAACAUAAGCUGUUGAAUCAAAUUAGUGUUUGUUAACUAUUGACUCAGACCCAUGAAAUUUUGACACGGGUGAUAUAAAGAAUCAAGAAUUGUGAUGAUACAAUUCUGCAAGGUCAGAUAUACAAAAUCCAUAAUUAUUCUUUUAGGGAUAUCAUCAUAAAUUUAAUAUACAAAAAUUUUAUGCAGGUAUCUUCAUGAAUCGAACCACGUAAAUCUAUCAUGAGCCAACUUCUUUAUGAAUCUGAGUUCCACUGGUCUCAGGACUACUGCGCGUUCGAAACAGUACCUGUGAGAGCCAUCUGAUCCAAGUGAAGUCUUUCGAGGUGGAUGAAGCGCCCUAUCCCCUCGGGAAUACUUCCAUGUACCUCGUUUCCUCCCAAACCAAGCCAUGUAAGUUGUGUCGAUAGAUUGACUAUCGUGCUCGGCAAUGGCCCCUCCAGCUUGUUAUAUUCCAGGUCCAGGGUUUUCAGAUUGCUGCAGUUGGCUAAGGAAGUGAAGAACUCCCAGUCCUCAGCUUUCCUAGCUUCUAAUUCGUUGGCACGCAGAUUCAGCGAAGAUAGAUAUCUUAGUUUUCCUAUAUCCGGAGGCAGAGGUCCAGUAAGUCUGUUAUAUGGCAGAACAAUUUCUCUAAGCAUAGAAGCAUUUGGCAGUGAGAUAGGAAGUGGACCUUCAAGAAUGUUACCAAAUGCUUGAAGUACUUCAAGACUGACAAGCGUGUUGCCCAUGUCAGGUGGCAGUGUUCCAGAGAGUUGGUUAUACCCUACGUACAAGUAGGAGAGGGACGACAGGUUAAGAAUGGAGACGGGGAUCGCCCCUGUCAAUGAGUUCCUGGUGACAGAGAUGUGCACUAAGCUUUGGAGUCUUCCUAGACUCGGUGGUAUGGUGCCUGCCAGUCUGUUUCCCACGAGAUCGAUGUGAGUUACCGACGAGAGGUUCCCCAGGGAAGCAGGGAUUCUCC